rnacentral:rRNA from 1 species
UACGGGGGGAGCAAGCGUUGUUCGGAUUUACUGGGCGUAAAGGGCGCGUAGGCGGCCAGCGCAAGUCAGUUGUGAAAUCUCCGGGCUUAACUCGGAACGGUCAACUGAUACUGCGCGGCUAGAGUGCAGAAGGGGCAACUGGAAUUCUCGGUGUAGCGGUGAAAUGCGUAGAUAUCGAGAGGAACACCUGCGGCGAAGGCGGGUUGCUGGGCUGACACUGACGCUGAUGCGCGAAAGCCAGGGGAGCGAACGGG